rnacentral:rRNA from 1 species
AUUGAACGCUAGCGGGAUGCUUUACACAUGCAAGUCGAACGGCAGCGCGGACUUCGGUCUGGCGGCGAGUGGCGAACGGGUGAGUAAUGUAUCGGAACGUGCCCAGUAGCGGGGGAUAACUACGCCAAAGCGUAGCUAAUACCGCAUACGCCCUACGGGGGAAAGCAGGGGAUCGUAAGACCUUGCACUAUUGGAGCGGCCGAUAUCGGAUUAGCUAGUUGGUGAGGUAACGGCUCACCAAGGCGACGAUCCGUAGCUGGUUUGAGAGGACGACCAGCCACACUGGGACUGAGACACGGCCCAGACUCCUACGGGAGGCAGCAGUGGGGAAUUUUGGACAAUGGGGGCAACCCUGAUCCAGCCAUCCCGCGUGUGCGAUGAAGGCCUUCGGGUUGUAAAGCACUUUUGGCAGGAAAGAAACGUCGCGGGCUAAUACCCCGUGGAACUGACGGUACCUGCAGAAUAAGCACCGGCUAACUACGUG